rnacentral:rRNA from 1 species
AGAGUUUGAUUCUGGCUCAGAACGAACGCUGGCGGCGCGUCUUAAGCAUGCAAGUCGAACGGCAAGGCAGGUGCUUGCACCUGCCCUAGAGUGGCGGACUGGUGAGUAACACGUGGGUGACAUGCCUUUUAGUUGGGGAUAGCUACUAGAAAUAGUAGAUAAUACCGAAUGUGAUCAAUAUUUAUAGAUGAUGUUGAGGAAAGGAGCUAAGGCUUCGCUAAAAGAUUGGCCCGCGGCCCAUUAGCUAGUUGGUAGGGUAAAGGCUUACCAAGGCGAUGAUGGGUAUCCGGCCUGAGAGGGUGAUCGGACACAUUGGGACUGAGAUACGGCCCAGACUCCUACGGGAGGCAGCAGCUAAGAAUAUUCCACAAUGGACGAAAGUCUGAUGGAGCGACGCCGCGUGGAUGAUGAAGGCCGAAAGGUUGUAAAAUCCUUUUACACUGGAGGAAUAAGCAGAGUAGGGAAUGACUCUGUGAUGACUGUACAGUUUGAAUAAGCAACGGCUAAUUACGUGCCAGCAGCCGCGGUAACACGUAAGUUGCGAGCGUUGUUCGGAAUUAUUGGGCGUAAAGGGCAUGUAGGCGGAUUUGCAAGCUUGAUGUGAAAUCCCGCAGCUUAACUGCGGAACUGCAUUGGGAACUGCAAGACUAGAGUUACUGAGGGGAAACUAGAAUUCCAAGUGUAGGGGUGAAAUCUGUAGAUAUUUGGAAGAAUACCAAUGGCGAAGGCAAGUUUCUGGCAGAUAACUGACGCUGAGGUGCGAAGGUGCGGGGAGCAAACAGGAUUAGAUACCCUGGUAGUCCGCAC